rnacentral:lncRNA from 1 species
GUAUGACCACUUCAUAGACUGGUUUCCCUCUAAUCCUCACUUUGCAUUUAUUCUUAGUCCUUUAAGUUCCUACCCCCCCUUUUUAUAAGCCAUGCUUAGGGACCUGGGAGUCUCCUAUAAACUUGGAUGCCCUAGGGCUGGUAAUUCCACACUUGCACUAUUCCUAUUAGAGUCUAAGCAAUGCCUGGAUCCCCUUGAAGACCUUUGGAACUUUGUAGCACUCUAAUAGAGACAAGCCUCGGAUCUUGGGAGCUCCGAUUUGGUAAAAGGCAUAUGUUGGACAUUAAAGUUGCUUCGAGACACCUCGGG